GCCUUGCCCUCCUCAGACCCAGGCCAUACAAAUGAAUAAAAUAAUAAUUAAUAGUUUAAAAAUCACUAGAAGAACACUCUUUUAUAAAUGUGUUUCCGGAUCGUGUUCAAAGUCUAUUACGUGAGUUUGGGCACCAAAAAAAAAUACGUGUCCGUUAUUUUAGACUACUCUAUAACAUAUAUAAAUAUAAAUCAAAUCGGAACCAGACAGUUUGGUACCUUUCCUUUACCCCUAGUGUAAAUAAAUUCGAUUUCGAAACGUGACGUACGCGUUUGCGUUUAGUCUCAUUUUGUAUUGGAUUUAGAAAGAGCGCGCCAAGCGGGACGUUUUGGAAACUCAAAAUCCUAUACAAAAUGAGACUUAACGCAAACGCGUUCGUCACGUUAUGAUGUCGAUCAAAUUUACACUAGGGGUACAGGUCAGUUCUUCAAUGGAAUUCCGCUUGGCGCCCGUAGAAUGAAAUGAAGUAGAUUUAAAUACUUAUUUAAUAGCCCAACUCCCAUGUUUCAUGGUUUUGGGUUAAUUUUGACGCAUGUUCCUUUUUCGUUCGAUAGUAGUCAUUUUAAAAUUGUUACUGUGUAUAAUAAUCUGUCGUAUUUAUUUGUCAGACGACACACCAGCGCCGCCGGGCCCGUCCGGUUUCAGAGUGCCACGCCCGCCGCCCUCUGAAAGCAGUGAGUAUAUUUACCAUAUAGAUAAAUACGAGUAAAAAUUUUUUUACAGUACAUAUGGUGCUACUUUACCGCACUAGUGCGCAAAUUAGCAUAUUACGUUACUGUGUCAAACAUUUAAAGGUCCAUAUGUACUGUAAAACGUUGUACGAUACAUGUGGGAAUAGAUAAUUCGCAACUCGUGUCGAUUUAAAACACUCCCUUCGGUCGUGUUUUAAUUUAUCACCACUCGUUUCGAAUUUCCUAUUUUUCGCACUUGUAUCGUAAUGUACUAUUUUUUACAAAAGCUUUUAUUUAACUGCUCUAAAAAGAAGAAAAUAAAAUUUUCCUUUAAAAUUUUAAUCAUCAACUUACGAGUAUAACCUCAUUAUACACAAUUUAUAUGUUCAAGCUUGUCGGGGCAAAAGGGCAUUCCAUACAUUAAAUAAUAAAAUCAACAUGUUUUUUGAUUAAAUGAAUACUUUUGAAAAUAAUUGGCUAC